CUUCUGCUGUGAUCGUUCUGUGGAUGUUUGUUUUAUCUGAAGCAGAGACAAGAGGAACUUUAGAUGCUGGGGGAGUUAUCUAUAUAUUUAUUCUAUUGGACCAGAGCGCUCAGAGAGGCAGAAAGACCACAGACUCAGCCAAGGACCUCUCUCCUAUCAGGGCCGCCAUUAAGAGG